rnacentral:tRNA from 1 species
UCCUUGGAGGACUAGUGGUUAGGCUUUGGCAUUCUCACUACCAUGGCCUGGGUUCGAAUCUCAGCCAGGGAA